rnacentral:rRNA from 1 species
UGGGGGAUAUUGCACAAUGGGCGAAAGCCUGAUGCAGCGACGCCGCGUGGGGGAUGAAGGCUUUCGGGUUGUAAACCUCUUUCGCUAUCGAACAAGGCCCGCUUAGGGUGGGUUGAGGGUAGGUGGAGAAGAAGCGCCGGCUAACUACGUGCCAGCAGCCGCGGUAAUACGUAGGGCGCGAGCGUUGUCCGGAAUUAUUGGGCGUAAAGGGCUUGUAGGCGGCUUGUUGCGCCUGCUGUGAAAACGCGGGGCUUAACUUCGCGCGUGCAGUGGGUACGGGCAGGCUUGAGUGUGGUAGGGGUGACUGGAAUUCCAGGUGUAGCGGUGGAAUGCGCAGAUAUCUGGAGGAACACCGAUGUCGAAGGCAGGUCACUGGGCCAUUACUGACGCUGAGGAGCGAAAGCAUGGGUAGCGAACAGG